rnacentral:rRNA from 1 species
CAGUCGCCGCGGUAAAACGAAGGGGGCUAGCGUUGCUCGGAAUGACUGGGCGUAAAGGGCGCGUAGGCGGCGAUCAAAGUCAGGCGUGAAAUUCCUGGGCUCAACCUGGGGGCUGCGUUUGAUACUUGAUUGCUAGAGUGGGGAAGAGGGUCGUGGAAUUCCCAGUGUAGAGGUGAAAUUCGUAGAUAUUGGGAAGAACACCGGUGGCGAAGGCGGCGACCUGGUCCUUGACUGACGCUGAGGCGCGAAAGCGUGGGGAGCAAACAGGAUUAGAUACCCCUGUAGUCCCUGUCUCUUAUAA